rnacentral:rRNA from 1 species
GAUGAACGCUGGCGGCGUGCCUAAUACAUGCAAGUCGAGCGAACAGAUGAGGAGCUUGCUCCUCUGACGUUAGCGGCGGACGGGUGAGUAACACGUGGAUAACCUACCUAUAAGACUGGGAUAACUUCGGGAAACCGGAGCUAAUACCGGAUAAUAUAUUGAACCGCAUGGUUCAAUAGUGAAAGACGGUUUUGCUGUCACUUAUAGAUGGAUCCGCGCCGCAUUAGCUAGUUGGUAAGGUAACGGCUUACCAAGGCAACGAUGCGUAGCCGACCUGAGAGGGGGAUCCGCCACACUGGAACGGAGCCACGGUCCAGACUCCUACGGGAGGCAGCAGUGGGGAAUCUUCCGCAAUGGGCGAAAGCCUUGCAGAGCAACGCCGGGGGAGUGAUGAAGGUCUUCGGAUCGUAAAACCCUUUUAUUAGGGAAAAACAAAUUUGGAAGUAAACGAGCACAGCUUGACGGUACCUAAUCAAAAAGCCACGGCUAACUACGUG